UACGAAGGGGGCUAGCGUUGCUCGGAUUUACUGGGCGUAAAGGGCGCGUAGGCGGUUCGUACAGUCAGACGUGAAAUUCCUGGGCUCAACCUGGGGGCUGCGUUUGAUACGUGCGGGCUUGAGUUCGGAAGAGGGUCGUGGAAUUCCCAGUGUAGAGGUGAAAUUCGUAGAUAUUGGGAAGAACACCGGUGGCGAAGGCGGCGACCUGGUCCGAUACUGACGCUGAGGCGCGAAAGCGUGGGGAGCAAACAGG
rnacentral:rRNA from 1 species